rnacentral:rRNA from 1 species
UACGUAGGGUGCAAGCGUUAAUCGGAAUUACUGGGCGUAAAGCGUGCGCAGGCGGUUCGGCAAGAAGGAUGUGAAAUCCCAGGGCUUAACCUUGGAACUGCAUUCUUAACUGCCGGGCUAGAGUAUGUCAGAGGGGGGUAGAAUUCCGCGUGUAGCAGUGAAAUGCGUAGAGAUGCGGAGGAAUACCGAUGGCGAAGGCAGCCCCCUGGGAUAAUACUGACGCUCAUGCACGAAAGCGUGGGGAGCAAACAGGAUUAGAUACCCUGGUAGUCCACGCCCUAAACGAUGUCAACUAGCUGUUGGGGCCUUCGGGCCUUAGUAGCGCAGCUAACGCGUGAAGUUGACCGCCUGGGGAGUACGGUCGCAAGAUUAAA